AUUGAACGCUGGCGGCAGGCCUAACACAUGCAAGUCGAACGAGUGGCGGACGGGUGAGUAAUGUCUGGGAAACUGCCCGAUGGAGGGGGAUAACUACUGGAAACGGUAGCUAAUCCCGCAUACCAUCGGAUGUGCCCAGAUGGGAUUAGCUAGUAGGUGGGGUAACGGCUCACCUAGGCGACGAUCCCUAGCUGGUCUGAGAGGAUGACAAGCCACACGGGAACUGAGACACGGGCCAGACUCCGACGGGAGGAAGCAGUGGGGAAUAUUGCACAAUGGGCGCAAGCCUGAUGCAGCCAUGCCGCGUGUAUGAAGAAGGCCUUCGGGUGGUAAAGUACUUUCAGCGAGGAGGCGUGACUCGCAGAAGAAGCACCGGCUAACUCCGUGCCAGCAGCCGCGGUAAUUC
rnacentral:rRNA from 1 species